rnacentral:rRNA from 1 species
GACGAACGCUGGCGGCGUGCCUAAUACAUGCAAGUCGAGCGAAGCGGCGGAGGGGUGAGUAACGCGUGGGUAACCUGAACUUAAGUCUGGGAUACCAUUUGGAAACAGAUGCUAAUACCGGAUACUAAAGAAUGGACCUGCGAUGCAUUAGCUAGUUGGUAAGGUAACGGCUUACCAAGGCGAUGAUGCAUAGCCGGGUUGAGGUACUGAUCGGCACCAUUGUGACUGAGACACUGCCCAAACUCCUACGGGAGGAAGCAGGAGGGAAUCUUCCGCUAUGGACGAAAGGCUGAUGGAGCAAUGCCGCGUGGGUGAGGAAGGUUUUAGGAUCGUAAAGCUCUGUUGUUUGUGAAGCGGUAAUCAACCAGAAAGUCACGGCUAACUACGUGCCAGCAGCCGCGGUAAUAC